UGAAGACUGAAUGCCUUUUGCUUGGGGAUAGUGUGCAGUGGCUUGUUUAAUUAUUUUUGCAAGAGCAGUAUGUUAUGGGAACCUUUUCAUGUGCAAACUGCAUUGAAGGCGGGAAUCUCCUGUUAAGAGUUGUGUAUUAUGUUCCCAUAAGCAAAGGUAAUGAUGAAAACUUUUAAAAUUGGUUCAUUGGCUUUGGCAAUCAGUAUCUACUGAAGAUCUCUUAUACUUCUCAGAAUCACUUCCCCCAGUUGAGGAGUACUACUGUUUGGUUUUUGUUUGUAUUAUGUAUUUGCUGGAAGGAGAGUACUAUUGUGUGUUUUUUGAGGGUGAUUACAAACAUAAAAUAGAUUCUCUUGAGAACGCUUUGUCUACUCUCAUCACAAUUGGUAAUUGUUUUGUGUUGUGUAACACUCUGCAUGCUGUGCUUCUUAUUUGGCAGUAUGUGUGUGUGAACCUAAAACUGGAUUUCCACCUCCAGCAUUUUAUCACUGAUGUUUUAAAGGUGAAUCCUGGAACAAAGCAUAAAACCUCUCUGAACUCAUGCAUUGCUAAUCGAUGAAUAUUUACUGAAUUAUGGCCAAUUUUUUCAGUCAUUUGGGAAAUCAAGUUUGCUACAUUUUAAUGGAUGUCUUCUCCAAUUAGGAUCCGUAUGAGGUAGCUUUCAAAAAUGAGAAAAACAACCAAACCCCACUCCCAAAAUAAUUACUUUUGCUGUUGAAGUAGACUAAAAUAGUUAUUUAUGUGCAAGGUGGGUGUCAUCCUUUUGCACCAAGGGUAUUUUCAUAGGCCAUUCCAAAAUGCCAAGGGAAAAGGAAUCCAUACUCUUCAUAUAUCCUAUUAGCAGAGAGCCUUGAGGUAGUGAUGGGCAAGACGUGUGGAAAAAAUGCGGCUUCUGCCAAACGUUUUCUUUGUAGGUCACUUAUUGUAGUUGCAAUUACAGGGAGCAUAAGAGCAAGUGAUCUAUUAGCAAAGCCAUGAAAAUAAACCAUUUGCCACUUCUAACAAGUGUUGGACCAAAAUAUGCCUCAAAUUUUAAAAAUAAGUGAAAACUUGGCAAAAAGUAAGACCCGGGUUUAUCUGCAUUUCAUCAGGUACAGGGCGUCCUGGAA